UACGAAGGGGGCUAGCGUUGCUCGGAAUCACUGGGCGUAAAGCGCACGUAGGCGGAUUGUUAAGUCAGGGGUGAAAUCCUGGAGCUCAACUCUAGAACUGCCUUUGAUACUGGCGAUCUUGAGUCCGGGAGAGGUGAGUGGAACUGCGAGUGUAGAGGUGAAAUUCGUAGAUAUUCGCAAGAACACCAGUGGCGAAGGCGGCUCACUGGCCCGGUACUGACGCUGAGGUGCGAAAGCGUGGGGAGCAAACAGG
rnacentral:rRNA from 1 species